UUAGGCAACGCGUUGGGCACCAGCUGGGUUUGUGGCCGGAGGGGUUUGCUGCAGGCUCCCCGUGGGCUCUCGUGGGAGCAGGAUCCUACCACCUGUCUGUCUGUCCACUCGGGCACAGGUUACUGCCAGAAGAUGCUUAGUAGUCAAGGCAGAUACAUUAAAACUCCUUGCAAAGUUAUAAUACUCAGCCCUUGAGUGGGCACAUCCCAGAGCAGCUGUCACCUGAGUGCACCUCAUCAACCCCUGCACCAGGUAGGGAUGGAGCAACCAGCCAAAGCAGCUCUAGGCCUUUCCCCUGCACCUGUGCUCUGGUCACCAUCUAAGUAGAAGAAAACCUUUUCCUGUGAUUAAAGGCAAUUUUCUAAAGCAUCUUUACCAUUUUGGUGCCGAGGCCAUUCACAAUGUUCAGAAAGUACAUGUAUCUUUGCAAGCAGAUGCACACAGCUUUUAUUUCUGCCCCACAGAAGUGCUGGUGCAGGUGCUGUAACACGGUAUCUGUGGGAUAGGAGUCUGCAGGGACCAGCCACAGAACUGAGGCGUUGAUUUUGGUACCGUUUACAGAGUGUCGAGGCUACAGCCCCACUCCUGCGGCAAACUGCCAGUCCCUUGUUUUUGGAGUAAGACGUGCCACUCUGGACACUAUCUGCCAAGUCUGGCUGCUCCUUGAGCUUCCAGUUCUACAGAGAUCCUGCGACUGCUGAGCUUCUGCAGCCUCAGACACUGAAAUGGGAGCUGAGGGGCUGGACCAUCCCCUUGCUGCAGCUCCAGCAGCACCUGCAGCUCCUGCCUAUUGUAACGGGACAUGUGGGUGAUCAGGAUCAGAUCAGGUCACAAACAGCUGCACUGCAUGCACCUUCCACUGUACAUCCCACAUUUUUAAGCUGUUUCAAGCAGUUCUGCUCUCCCUUUCCCAUCUUCUCCAAAGCUGAGCUUUUAAAAAGCCCUCCAAAACUGUGUGUUGCUACAGCCACCACUUCUGGAACUCAAGGUGAGGAUGUCCCAUGCCACUAUGUCCAUCCUGAGAGGGACAGAGCUACUGGCACCAGGGGAACAGCAAGGGGGACGGGUGACCCCUUCAAAACCUGCCCGCUCCAGCUGUGCUGCCUGUGAGACACCAAACAAAAUGUUUCUGGUCCACAGAGCAAUACCCUACACACAGACUUCUUUUUGGGUUUGUGACAUUAAUAAUGUCGCCUUAAACUUGCCCUGAGCACUUACCACUUCCAUCUGCCACCUCCAAAGCUGGGAUGCUGCAGUGGCAGAGCACAUCCCUGCUGGAAGUUAAAGGACAGGCUGCCAGGGAAACACAUGCAGCUCUCCUGAGCCCAUUUAGGCAUUUUUAAGGACAAGCCCACUACUUCCAGAAAACCAUCCCUAAUCAUUCUUGUCCUGGUAAAGGCUCUCUGAGCACAGCACUGCCCCACAACAGCACGGAGGGAGGGGAUCUACCCCAUCCCACCCACUACAGCCAGGCUCAGCAACAACCCACAUCUCACAGACAAACGAGAUGAUUCAGGUGUGCAGGUGAAAUUUCAGGAAUGGGGCUAUUCCUGUUAGAACACAGACAGAAAAAACAGGGUCAAUGCCCUUGUUAUCUGGCUAACCACAUUGCUGCACUGUGCAUGGUCUGUCCAGCGAUACUGGCCGGUUAUGUGGCACUGGGUGCUGCAAGAGCAGGGCCCACACAGCGGUCCCAGAGAAUUAACCAGCCACCAUGGCAAACCUGGCUUUGUUCCUUAACACAAGCAUCAGGGGGCAAUUUUUCCCUCACUGACUCACUCGAUCCUCUCCUUGCAUGUCCAAGCCAGCGUGCUUGCAGCAGCAGAGGGGAUGGUACAUGAAGCAGCCUCGUGGCUCUGAUCUCACUGUACAGAAACGGGUCCCAGAUGAAGGGCUGUCCCAGAAGACACACACUGCUCUCUGCUAAACAUAAAAGGCUGCCAAAGCCCUGGCUGCUAAACCUGACAGCUUGGACACUGCUCCAGAAGGCCGGUGCUGAGGCACACGUGACUCAUUUAUUAAGUGUACACUACUUUUUUUUUUUCUUCAAAUACUGUUAGGCAGAAAUUCCGCAGCAAUUUGCUUUGUUUCUUUGAUCACAGGAUUGCUACUCUUCUUCCCUUGGGGAAAAACAUGCCCUAAAAACAAACAAAUGCUGCACUGGAAGUAAAGAGCCCACUCCUUUGAAACCUCUGGAGAUACACUUAGAGCUGUUGGAAGACACAUGCUCAUCCCUAAAAACCAAAGCUAUCCCGAGCUGUGACACUGAAGGACACCAAGAAGUCUGCAGCAACCCCGGACUUCACAACCUUGCAAAUAUUUUCCAAACUCCUAAUCUUACAAAUAAGUGGAACAGAACAGGCAACCACUAUCAGCAUGUGAAAACACAGGGCUUUCUCUGCCAGGGCUGGAUCAGCUACUGAUGAAUUCCAAUCCUGCUCUGGGACAGCCGCUUCUUUCCACUGACAGUGCUCAAUUUACUCAAAUCACUCUGGUGGAGCCUUCAGCCUUCCCAACCACUGACUCAAACUCUUGUUGGUUUUGCAGAUCUGGAAUAAUCCCUUUGGCCUCAUGGCAGCAGGCAGUGUGAACCUUGCCUGUGUAUAUCUGAUCUGAAGUGGGACUGAAGUCACAGUUUCAAGUUUUAUCCCAGAGUGCCAGUAGGAUCCUGUAAUCCCAUGGCUUCGAAAAAGCUUUAAUUAAAAACACAGAUCCAGUGAAAACCACCAUCAAACCAUACACACCAGCAAGGCCUGGCUACCUGCCUACAUGGAUAUUUGGACUAACUUCCAGCAGAAAAGGCGCAAGAGGAGUUCUCCUCUACACCUAGUCCAAUUCCACCUACAUCUGGUUAUGCCCCCCUCCUGCACAUAAGCCCCCACAGCUUCUUAAUCUCUCUUUUGGGGUGACAAUUGUCACUUUCAAUGUGACGUACAGUCCGUAGGAAGCCUCCCACCAUCAGCUGCAGACUUGAGGCCAGACCCUCUGUGAGCAACACAGGGAGGAACAGCAUUCCAGGACGAGGUGGGAGUUUGCAGUUUGGCAUUAGAACACGGCUCUCACAUGCAGGGGGGGUUACCUCUCCAUCACCCUUCACAGGUGGCCCUGAGCUUCUUCAGCCCACAGUCUGACUCCCUGGCUGCUCUGAGUCAGCCUCGUGCCACAUAAUUGCAUAAAUUCAGCGCUAAGCCUGAACUAAUAGAGCCAGGCUCUCACGGGGCUUAUCAGCUGGGGCUGGGUGCUGCAGGGGCUCAGCACCUUCCCCGCUCCUGGCCGGGUGAUGGCGCGGGUCCAGCCGGCUCCGAGCAGGAAUGGAGCUCCCUCGCAUCCGCUGGCAAAACGCACGCGAGCUGCAAGAAGUACAGCCCUGGAAAGCCUGGAAAUCUGACAGCUUUUUGUGUAGUAAUAAUGCAAUUCAAAAAAGACUAUCGGUAUUGUAUAAAUAUUUGUACAGACACUUAUCGCUGUAGCACUCAGACACUCGGUCCCCCUGAAUCAGCUGAUCGGCUCCCAAGUCCUCGCCUCCGUUUGCAGAGCUCCGCUAAACCAAAACCGUGCAACCCCGGCGUAACCAUCCACACAGCGAAACAUAAAGCCUCUGUUUAUAUAAAUAGUCUCCAGUCUCCACCCUCCCUACUUGCUGGGAGGUUGUCAGCAAAAUAAAAUAAAAAGUGGGAUCGGAUUCCCAGCCCACUUAGAAAGAAAGCGAGCAGGAUGUAUGUUUUAGCCAAGGAAUUAAUUAAUUAUUAUUAACACAAUGAAUGCUCGCUAGGAAAUGUUUGUACUUUGCCACUGUAAUUAAAUAUUCUCACUCAUGCAGCUCUCAGCCUUCAGAAAUUAGUAUUGCAUUUUAUAGUCCAGUUUGGGGUUUUUUUUUAAUAAGAAAGCACUUUCACACUGAAUUUUUCAUUGUCUGCUGGCACAGAAAGACAAGAGAAGGCCUCUUAACAUUCAUGCCCAUUUGCCUUUCUGAACAAUUACAAAUACUUUUUUUCCAGCAGUUUUCAUAAUGAAAUGUCCUCUCCCCUUUUUGCUCCAGUACAAGCCUGAUCUUGAUGAAUAAAGUGGGUCCCAUCACCCUGGGUGCCUCUCUCUGCACAUCCGCUGGUUCUAUUUCCACCCCUGUGAGCUAAACCGCCAAGUUGCUUUAUGAGCAGGUACCUAUGCAAGGCUUCUCAGGGAAAGCUUGUUCAAGAAAGGACUGCAACACCUAACCCUAAUGAAGGGCUGGUUUCUAAUCCCUUUACUCAAGGUCUAUUUGCUCCAGCCAGCUGCUCACGAGAAACAGGCAGCAGAAUCCAGCCCUCCGUCUCCGUGAAAUGGGUCAAAGACACGCAGGAUUAUUAGUAAUUUGGAAAGAAAGCACCCAAGACGUAAUGUAAUUCCACCACUAGAUUUUAUCGCCUUUACUCACAAUGAGCAAAUAGCAGGGGAAUCACUGAGCAGAGGCUGCUCACCCUCUCUCAAAAGGAAACCAGACCCAGCUCCUUCCUGCUGGAGCCACCGCCGGAGCCAACCAGAGCCGCCGCAAAAGCCACGCAGCCCCGGCUCCCCACAUGGGUAACUAACCACCAGACCAGGUGAGCUUCACCUGCCUCACCCUUCCCACAAAAGAAAAGGCACUGGGGCUUGGGUUCGGGGAUUUAAUUUCUUCUCUUUACCCUCAGAUGGACGUGAGCAAUUGCUCCGUUUUGCCAUCCCCAGUCAUCCUUGAUUUAGCUAAUGCUCUGUUCCAGCAGGAAACAUCUUAACUCUGAAGAUCUGAUGAUUGCCCCAGCAAUCAGCUGUUCAAAUAGUUGAAAAUUAAGACUAUUGCACACAAAGUAAAUUAAGUAAUUUUCUACCCUCCUAGGGUCUCCCAAGUUUAUCAGAUUUCCCACGACUGGUAUGUCAUGAUGCCUCAUUACUGUAAAGAAAAUACAGCUCCGUGAGUCAUUUAAGUGGCCUACCCUCAAAGACUCAGGAAAAAAAAAGAUCUUCACAAACAGAUCCCACUGCAAAUGUAACAAAGAGCAGAAGACAAUCAGCACAACUUGUUUAUUUACUCCCAUGCUCAAUUCUCAUGGCUUAGGUUGCACAAACCUCUGAGAACCUCACAAAGGGUGUAUGCAGUUGUUCUUUAUCACACCAACUUUGUCAACAGUGAUGGUUUUGUUCACAAGGAUGCCAGCAGAAUCAGGGGUGAAGAAGAUGCCCUCAAACCCCAAAAGUCUGCAAUCUGAUCCUAAAGCAGGUACCACUUCAGCAUCCUUAAUACAGCAGUCCUACCUCUCGGUCUCCUUCCUAAAACUGAGUAAGCAAGGCAGCUUUUGGGCAGUGACUGGUUAUUUCCAAAUAAGCAUUUUGAACUCAGCCUGCAAAUACUCCUCCUAAAACGCCAUGGGAUGCUCUGUUAGCUUCAGUCAUUAAAACAAGCCUUCAGCAUGGGGAUGGUGCUGCGCCGCUUCCCGACGCUCCCUGGAUCCCUUCCACCCUGGCUGCGGCAUCUCAGAGAGGUUUUGUUCCCAAGCUCAAACAAGCUGGAAUCAUUCCCAAGCAUUUGGAAACCUUGAGCUGAGCAGUAAGCGCUCGGCAUUAUGGAAAUCACCUGGUGGAGGCCGCUGUAACUUCAGUUUUACGUUAUGAUUUCUCUUGAAACCCUCUGAUUUUGGACUACAUUUUUCUUUUCAGCACAAGUUCUCCCGUUGGUCUCCAGCCAGAUGUGAGCUUUUGUAAGAUGAAAAAAUAUAAAUCAGUCACUUAAUUUCAGCUAAAAAUAGAGGGGACGGGAAAACCCCACUGAUAAGAGGUUUUUAAAGCAGUCACAGGUUACCACGGGAGGGGACAAACAGCCACCUCAUGUUCACAUGCAAAUCAGGCCCUCAAAGAACUGAGCCUUUACAGAUCGAUGGGGAAAGUAAGGGGAAAAGAAAGCAAAUGCCAUUAACACAGUUAAAUAUUUCAGGACAUGCUUCAAAGCACAUCCAGCGAUCACUCUGCACUUCAGCAGAAGCUGGUCCGUGAGGCCAAGUCCCACCACGGAGGUCCAUCAGGACACAGGGGAAACCCCACCUUUGACCUGAAAGAUGAGGAAGAAACUGAAGCUCUUGGGUUCUGCAGUACAAAAGAAGGCUUUCUGGAAAGUCUUGACUUUUCUGAAAACACCAGCCACGACUGCCCCAGCAGCAGAUUCACUGAAAGCACCUUGACCUGAGAAGCCACGUUUCAACACUACUUGUCCUUUGGCACAGGUUGGAAGCACAUGUCAGCCCCUCAAGACCAGGGGGAAACAAGAGGCACGGUAUAGGUAAGGAGGUAAAAACUGUCAGAGCUUGGGGAAGAAGUAGGUACCCGCUGCCCAAACAGCAAGGCGUGUCACCAGGAACUGUGCCAACGCUCCUAUGGACUCCUUGCACACACCUUAAGCUACUAAUUCCUCUGGUUCUGCAAGCAUGGGCCGCAUCAUCCCCUUCUGCUUCUCCAGGUCAUGUCUGCGCUCACAUCCCACCUCAAUUCCAGCCACUGGCGAAGCCACACUCAUGAAAACCUCUUGCACAGGCAUUGAAAUCUCCUGUCUGGAUCAGGAAACUUCCUCUAGUCUCCACAACCAGAAAAAUGCCUUCCUUUCAUCUGUGCAGGUGUUUUGCAUUAGCACAGAAGCACCACUGGCUGUUAUCAACAUCAGCACCUUCAUCAGGAGGAGAUGCCCCGGUUGGCCCCAUUUGCCAUGUUUGGGUUCAGUGCAGCGAGGAGUUUUUGUGCAUUUUUAUCAGGUGCUUUGCAAGGGAAACCAAGCGGAAUGCUUCACCCUGGAGCGUGCCAGACAUUCCCUGAGCCCCGCUGCAGGCACAGGAGCCCAGGGCAGCGCCGGAUCUCAGGGCAGAGCUCCCAAAGACCUAAUCCCAGGUGUACAAAAGGCCGCAAGACAAAGCACGGGUCCAAACAAAAGCUGAGCAGAAAAUCUAUAUGCUGAAGAAAGCAAUGAGUAAGACUGGGUAGAAGAACACAACUACUCCUCAGCCAUCUGCUAAAGCCUUGGGGUGUUCAGAGAGGGUGAUCUGCACAUUUGUAUCUGCUGUCACCAGGCCCCCGCCUCAGCCAUGCCUUGUCUAGGGAUGAGUGGAGUGAUCACCAACUCAGAAAAGGUGGGAUUUGGGGGAAAAAAAACACACCUCGGUUAACCAUCCCAACCCAGAUAAGCACCAGGGAGAGGCUUCAAGUCCCCCCACACAAGUGUGUGCACAAAACAGAUGGAAAGAUCCCAGUGCUCAGCCCAAACCAUUUCUCCUGGCUUGUCUGCAAUACAAAAGCCUGAGAAAUGCCAGGGGCCUGCUCUGCCACCAGCUUAAUUCCAAGAGCUUCCCACUGCCUGGGUGUUUAGGUGUUGCAUUUUCCCCCUCUCUUUCCUCCUCCACCCUUUCCAGCAUGCAGAUACCCAAAAGGAGAUCACCCACCGUGGCACAAGAAUGUUGCACAAGCUGUGACUCUCCUCUGGUUAUCCCUUAUCUAUCCCUAAGCCCUGAUAAAAACCCACCUAUGACCUCCUGGUCCUUUUUAUUUAUAUUAUUUUUUUUACCUUUGAAACCAGACUCGGUCAGCUCUCCAGAUCCUAAAAGGGAGCUGCAAAAAGCCCAGUCCCACACGUGCUAGAAAUGCCACAACUUUGGCAUUUUGCUUGGAAAUGGGUGCACACAAAAGCCAACAGUGUAAGCAAAACCAAACAGGGCCAGAGAAGUUUCUCCAGUCCUCUCCCAACCAAGUCUGCUAUUCUUGGGCACCGUCAAACUGAAGGAAUCUUCCCUUUCCCUCUCCUGACAAUACGUUAUUUGUACAUGUUUACGCUGAGGAUUAAAUCCCCAUCCGGGCUGGAGAGUGUGGUUCAUUCACAGCUUCUGCUCCUCAGCGGUGCUUCCUCCGAGCUGCCUUUCCAGGGCUGUUUUGCAGCUCCCUGGACAGAGAAGGCGGCCCACGGCCAGAACCUGCGGGUACAAUCCGGUACAGCAGCUGGCAAGCCUGGGAAAUCACUUAGUUCAUGACCACAAGGACUUGGUUCCAGCCGGACAAACAUUUUCUCCGCGUUGGCCAAGGUAUGACUCUCUGUACGACUCUCUGCCCUCCUGCAAAGCGCAGCUCACCCCUUAUCUCUCCAUCAGGACUCACAGGGGCCGUUUUUCCUACCCCAGGGCACUGGAUGAGGCCACGCAGAUGCCCAACCAGGUAACUCCCUGCGAGCUCCAGCUACGGGAAGGGGAACCCACAGAGGUUCACACCACCAGCCAGGACAGUGCCCAAAACCCCAAGCGACUGCACACACUGUACUCCUGGUGAAAUACCCAAUUUCUCCCUCAAAAACACUCAGUGGAGUUUAAUUUCCCCGCCAGCAGGCUUGAAUAACAUUUUAAAUGCCAAGAUUUAUAUGCAGACACUUAUAAAUGUGUUCCAUUAUAGCCUCUGCAAAACUACAUUUCAACCUAAACAUUCAAUUAAUGUAAUUAAAUUGCUACCUGGCGGUAUUAUCUAAUUUCACUUCGGAUCUGUGCUAUUGAAAAGCAUGUGUCUUUUAGCACUCCGACUGGCAAGACAUGUGAUAAACAGACCUAUAAACAUGUUGGCUCAACCGAGCUGUUUAAAAAUAAAUUAGCAAACUAUAAAAAUAAACAGUAACAUACAUAUGUACUCAAUUAUGAACUAACUCUAAUUUUUGUUCUGAAAUACUGUCUUUGACCUUAGUCAUAAACAAGCACUAUUAAAAAAACAUAAUAUCUCAACAGACAGAAGGGCAGGGAUUAAACGCUCGUCGCGCGCGGCGGAAUGCAAAAUAAGGGAUGAAAAGAAAGAAGAAAAGAAAGAAUAAAAGAAAGAAAAAGGGGGGUGGAAAAAGCUCACCCUUUAUUAAAUGCAGCAACCUAUACCCACCGCAAGCAUUUAUGCUGAUUAAAGCUGUUUGGAUUCAAGACAAAAAACUUAAAACCCACAGAAGUGCCUAUGGUUAAAAACUUUGUAAGGUUCAGGGGGAGGAAAAUAUUGUUUUAGCUUGUGUAGGAGGGAGGGCAGUGUGGGUCCCACAGAGCCACCCGUGGCCUUUGGUUGUCCAGGUGCAAACCCUGCUACUGUCUUGCAAGAAUUCAUUCAGCGAGCCAAGAACAUGUGGCAGAAAGGUAGGAACCACCACACCAGAGCAGAGGGGGAAAAACAAACAAACAAACAGAUUUUUUUGAAGACUGUAGAGCGGCGUCCAGACCAUGUUUUUGCCAUUAAUUCAGCGCUCCCGUAAGAAAAGAACAAGGCAUCAUGCUAUGACUGUCAGCACUGUUCUGUUUUCUCUGGGAAGAAAGGCAGGAAAGGAGGAAGGAUGAAAUGCUGAUGCACAAAAGGCACAUUUUGCACCCAGGGAUAUUUUCAAGGCUUUCAGGCUACACAGCAGGCACCAACAUCCCUCCCUGUGCCCACAUGUGCACCCAUGUGUAAAACCUCACGAGAGACCCAAAAUCAACAGCAAAAGCAGUUAAGCAACUGCUAAGCUCAAUUGCGGAGAAUCAACCUAAGACACCGCCUGCUGUCGGGCUGUCUCCCCAAAAACACUUAUAUAAAUAAACAAUAGGAGGCAACUCAUGUUCAUCAACACAUGGGCACAAAAAACAGGCAGAGAGAGGCGGGUGGAAGAAAGGCUUUGCCCCAGGCCAGCUCCUCGCCAGCAGGGAGUCACGUAGACUCAGCCCCGCAGUCAGUAACGAGGCAGGGUCUGACAUUUCCACGAACAAGAAGGGCUGCCAGUUGCUGAGACACAAACAAAACACUCACAAGGCGUGUUUUUUCAAGGGAUGCGACAGGAAGGGCCCACAGGAGGCAGUGACAGCAUGCACCUUUUUUUUUAAUCUUUGUUUUCCCAAGGACCUCCUCAGCAGCAGGAAGCAGGAUGCCAGAGAGCUCCAUGCGCUGGUGGAAACACCAACUGGAUGGUAAAGGAGGGUGGAAAUGGACUGCCAGGGCUGUGCCAGGUCUCGGGAAGACCACACAGCUUAAGCAGUGUGGGAGUCACUUCCAGCCACCAGAGCUGGUACACCCUGCUACUUGGUGGGGAGCAGCAAUGGCCUCUCCUCUACAGUCCUCAAUGCUCAACAAAUCCAAAAGGAUUCCCCUUAAUUUAUGGAGCAAAUAUUUGCCAGUUCCUAAACCCCUUUGGUUUUUUCCUAUUUUUUUCUUUUUUUUGUUUUUAUUCUCCAAAUAAAUGUCUACCAUUCCCUCAAGCAACUGCUGGACACUGCUGCUCAGGAAUGACCAUCAGUGAUCAGUCAAAUACCAACCAGCAAAGCAGCAGUGCAACCCAGAGCUGCUGUCAGUGUGGUGACUUUACAUCUCAUACACCUGGACACACCAGCCCCUUCCUGGAUGUUACAGUCAUGUCUCAGUCCACACCACAGCUAUGCCCUCACUCUUCUUUCAGAGUUGGGUAUCAAUCACACAUUAUAAGAGCAAAACAAGAAUAAUAACAGGUCCUGUCUGGACUAUCCACUGUCUUCUGCUUUCUCUGGCAAAAGCCUUGUACUUGAAGCCAUGUCCCAAAGCACCUCCCCAGCCCAGUGUACCCUGAUCAAGAAGAGACAACGAUUAAAAACUGCAGUUAAAGCAACACUCCAGUUUGAAAAUGAACACCAUUUACUGCCCAUCCUCCCUGCUCUGUUACCAAUAAAAUGCUUACAGACACUAUUCAUGCAGACAUAAAGUGCUAAUGGCUACCUGUUAACGUGUUUCAUCAUGCCAACAUUUUUGCUCUGAUUUUGACAGUUCCCUUUUUGUUAUUUUAAGCUAAGGGAGCACUAAUCUGGGUUGGAACUGAAAGCUGCAAGAAUUACAAUCUACAGCAACUGCACAACUAAUGACACCGUUUCCUUCCACUCUGCACCAUUUCAUGGACAGUUUUCUUGCAGCCAAGCUCCUUUCCAGACUAUAAUAAUUUGGAAGUGCAGGAGCAUAGAAGUAGGGUGGGAAGAUUGUAAGAUGUUGCUAAGAAGUCUCAUGAAUUCUUGGCCCAGCCCUGUGUGUUUGGUGGCAGAUGGGCGGGAAGAGAGCAAUGUGAACACCAAAAUCAAACGUACUGGGAAAGUCACUUUGAAUGGCUUAAGGAGAAAAAAAAUUAAGUGGUCGUUCUUAUACGACUUCAGGGAUGUGUCUUCAGGGUUAGAACAACUGCUGGUGCAAAUUGGCCAUGUGAUUUACACCUCAAGGGCUGCCCUAGGUGUGACUACAGGUGGUUCACCAGCUCUUCUGGAUGUGGAAAGAACAAAACUCCCUGGGUAUCAUCCUCAGCAGUCGCUGACUCCAGUUGGACAUUUGGACAGGUACCUAAUGCCUGGUGUCCUCCACACUCAAAAAUGUGCUGGGCAUGUCUCCACGUGCCCCACAUGAGCACACACUGAAAAUACGCCUACUGACAUCUGCGGUGUUACAGCAGGUGAAAAUCUGCUUGUGUGGAAGAAGAGCCUGGUCCUCUGUGAUUACCAGCAGCACGGGUCAGAGCCAUGAUCUGAUUUUCCACAGAGCAGGAGAAGAGCAGAAGCUCUCUGGUCUCCAGAGCAGUUGCAGCCCUGCAGAGAUACCCAGCGGCUUUGAGCAUACACAGAGGGAUAAUUCCUUUCCCCAGCUUUGCAAUUGUUUGUUAGAGCAAAUUAAGAGUGCUAACAAGUCUUACUGGAGCCCAUUGCAAGGAGGUUAAGAAACACGACUUAUCUGAUGCAAUCAGCAAUGUAAUGCAACCUCCCAAGCCCCAGUUCAGGCAAAAUAUAUGCAAGUAACCAAAAGGGAUGGGCAUAACCUUGAGGGAAGAGUUGGGGAUGCUCCAAUCCAACCUGCAAUGUCAGAGAGGAAAGACAAGAGAGCACAGCAUGGAACAGAAAAUUCCCUGCCUGCUUUGUGUCUUUUGCUGCUUCCAAGGACUCCCAUUCUGUUCAGACCAGAAAGAGGACACAGGUUUGGAAGGAUCUCUGGUCUGACUCAACAUGGUGUAGUUUUUAAUUUUUUAUGAAAAAGACUGCUCUGCAGUACAAGCAUCACAACAGGUCGAGGCUGCCUCAUCUGCAGACCCCUUAUGCUCCCAGGAUCCUGACCACGAUGCUCCUGGGAUCCUGACCACGAUGCUCCCGGGACCCUGACAAUGAUGCUCCCAGGAUCCUGAUCAUGACAGGAUUUAAAAGCCCUUUGUUGGGCUGUGUUACAUGGUGUGAUCUAGAAAGCCGUCACAGCCGAGGCACCGUGGGCUUUCGGCUGCGCCGACGCUCGGGCUCCCCCCUUGCCUACACUGGACUUUGAGAAGGCGUUGAGCCAGCUCAGAUAAGUCAGCAAUUUCUAUCAACACCCCUUCCAAGCCAAGCUGCACAUUGUGACACCUCUUCCAGCACGGGCUGGUGGAGCUGGGCUUCACCCUGGCACAGCUCCCAGACAAAAGGUGGGCCGCUCCACCAUGCUGCUCCAGCAUGCUGGCCCACUCUCAGCUCCCCCCAGGUCCUCUCCUGGCAGCGUCCUUCCCAUCCCAAACACAAACAAAUGGGUGAGGAGCAGGUGACAGAAGCGUAACAGAUGCCUAAAAUGGUUUAGAGUGAUCUACGAGCAUCUUUUGGUUGUAAUGCUCCAUUAAUGUGACAUUUAUGUGGGGUAAUAUAAUACCGCUCACUUAGGAGCACCUACACCAGCCAGUCAGGUUUCUGUGUGCACAAAGGAUGAUGGGGAUAACUGGGAGGGUUCUCGCAUGGCCAGAGACCCUACAGAUGGAGUUACAGAGGACAGGAGGCACCACUGCUCAAAGGGGACAUGCUGGGUCUCUCCCUGAGGGAGUGGAGGACAGAGCAAUGUCUCAGGAGGCAGAACAAGAGAGCCACAAACGGGGAAAAAGCCUGGCUUGAACCUAUGGAGCUGAACAGUCCCUCUCUGCAGAACGGGAAACACAAUAUCUGAGGAAGGUCUGCCCCAGUCCAAAGGCACAGCCUUGCUGUCCAUCUCCAUGCAACCUGCAGUGUAGUUUGGGCAUCCAUCUGAUUUCACAGCAUGCAGUGUUACACUCUGUAGCUAAAUCCAUCUCUAAUGUCACAUAGGCCUUAUAAGGGUUCCUGUUUUGUUACCCUGAUUUAUAAACACCACUGCAGUGGGCUGGAGAAGGGAUGGCCUCGCAACCGCAAGCCUUCGUUACCCCCCACAAAUGACUUGUUUGCAGCUCUUGAACUGCCUAAUUUAUUUUGCCCCUAUGUUUUGGCCAUCCAUCUAGUCUUUUCCUAAUGGUGCUCUGAACGCUGACACUUUGGGAAACGUCUAAAAUGCUGUAACCCUUACAUGGCCCCGAGGAGGUGAAAGGACCAAGGGCAACCGCUGAAUCUUCCCAGAACAACAGAGGGAUCAUCCAUCUCCUCUUCCCUCCUCCCCACCCACCACUCCACCCCAGGCACUGUUCUCAUCUCAAUGUGCUUGAGCAAAACACAAAAUAAGGCGAGAUUUGGCCACCUCUGGAUAUCCAAGGCCACAGACUGUACCCGAUGACCUGGAAGGUGUCCCCCCCAGACAUUUGCUCCUACAGCUCUGCCUCUCAGAAAAACCAUCAGAGAAAAAAAUCACAAGGCCGGUUGAGUUUGGGCUGUGGCAAUGCCAUUUGGAGAAGAACGGGGAAAAUCAAUAGGUACAGUCUGCAUUUUGGGCAAAUGGGGAAGGAAUUUAAAUCAAAAUCGAGUCUGAUCAAAAACUCAAGUCAACAGAGUUCCACAGAUCUGGCACCAGGUUUCAUCAUUUAGGUGCUCACUGAGUAGAAAAUGAACAAUCAGCACUUUGAAAUAAAUGCAACAAGUAUCACAGGGUGUUGCCACCAGCCUUUUGUGGGACACCCACGAAUCCAGAAGAGGCAUCUAGUGUCACAGGGAAAAUGCUGAGGACACAGAAAGUGUCACCGAAGGACAGGCAGAACAAGCACAGAACAAACUCCUACCAACAGAUUAAAUUCAUGUCACGGUAUUUUACCCACAUUUUGCACUAGUCAGAUACCUUGAAAUAUGUGCACGCAACCAGAGCCACGACACUAGACCUUUAAAGACCUGAGAGCCGCAGAUUAAAAACAUGUUGGAACGCUUACUGUGUCCAGUGCCAAAAAUGUGUCUCUAACCUGUAGGAAGAAAUGGGUGUGGAGCCGCUCACAGAACGAUCCCUGCACUCACACGGCAGGGUACAACGUCCCCCUCUUUGUUUCUCCCUUGUGAGAAAAAACAGCGACUAAAACAUGACCGAGGAGCUGCCUCAGCUCCCCGAAUUUUUUGAGAAGUACACAGAAUCGGAUGGGAAAACGAGGUGGGAAUUACAGAAAUCCCACGUAAUUCACAAAGACUAAAGCCACUUUGCCAUGGACCAACAUGAACCACUGAUCUCAGUGCUCAGUUGGUGCUUGCUGCUUCUUUUUGGGGACUUCAGUCAGCUCCUGCAUGGCACUGAAGCGCUUGUGAGUAGAUACAAAAACGUACACAAAGCCUAAAAGUAUUUCAUUGGAAUUGAAGCUCAAUUUACAGCUCCCGAGACUCAAGGGUGUGUUUGAGCAGCUCUUUGUUGCAGGGUUUUGUCAAGGUAUGUUCUGACUUGUCCCCUGCAUGGUUGUGCAGUAAUUCUUGAUACUGAUAGUCAAUUACUUUGUUCACGUCACUCAAACACAGACUUUUUUUUUUUCCUUUCUUUCUCUGUCUCUCUCUCUCUCUCUCUCUGCACGGCUAAUCUGGGAAAGACAACACAGAGCUAGCUAAACCACUGCUGCCAAAGGAAUGAACUCCUGGCCAGCUGGGGUGCUGCUGCCCUCCAGCCCUGCCAGCACAGGUAGCAAAGUGACCUCUGGAGCAAAGAGCCCUCCUUAUCUCUCUUAAAAUACCAGCGGGCCCAGGCUCUGAGAAACUUCCUUCCCGACGGGAUAAGCACUUACCCAGGUAAUCUCAUUACAGCCAUUGUUCUCUGAAGGUUAAUAAAUACUUACCAUGAUGAGUAAAGGCUCCGCAAUCUGACCCCAACAGCAGCAGAAGUGAUUGCUUAGGGCCAAAUUUUCAUACUCUUAUUAUGCUGAACACCAUAUUCCUCUGCGAGCAGAGCAGCGUUAGCACCAAAAUAAAUGUGACUGCUUGCAAAUAAGGUGUUGGCCCCACUUCUGGCCUCAA